GAAGGGGUAAAAUUAAUAAAUUUAAAAUAAAAAAAAAAUUUUUAAAAAAUAAUAAUGGGGUUAAAGUAUUUUUUAAAGAAAAAAUUUUUUAUUUUAUAGUUAAAUAGUAUUGUAAAAUAAAUUUGAAAUAAAUUAAAAAUUUAAAUUAAAAAAAAGUAAUUUUUAUUUAGUGUAUCUUGUGUAUCAGAGUUUAUUAAUAAAAAUUUAUAAUUAUAAAUUUCUCGAAUUUAAAAGAGCUAAUUAAUUAAAAAAUUUAUUGUAGCAUAAAUAUUUUUAAUAAUUAAUUUGAAAUGAAAUGUUAAUCGUUUUUAAAUAUAUCUAGUUUUUUUAGAAAAAAAUUUAAUUUUAAAUUUUUUUUUAUAAAUAGAUAAUUAAUUAUUUAUUUAUAAGAAAAAUUUUAUAUUUUAAGGGAUAAGCUUUAAAUUAAAUUUAUAUAAUAGAUAUUUAAAAUAAUUUGAAAAUUAUAUAAUUUAUAUUGUUAAAAAAUUAUAAUUUAUUAUAAAUAAUUUCAAUAAAAUUUAAAAUUUAAUUUAAUUUAUAUUUUUAUAAAAAAAUAAAUUUUAAUAUUAAAAAUUUAGUUAUAAUGAUAAAAUUAGUAUAUAAAAAUUUUUUAUAAAAUGAAUUAUUUAUGAAAAUUAAAUAAAAGGAAUUCGGCAAAUAUAUAUAUUCACUUGUUUAUCAAAAACAUGUCUUUUUGAAAUUAAUUUAAAGUCUAAUCUGCCCACUGAUUUUUAUAAUUGAAGGGCUGCAGUAUAUUGACUGUACAAAGGUAGCAUAAUCAUUAGUCAUUUAAUUGAUGACUUGUAUGAAAGAUUGGAUGAAAUAUAAACUGUCUCUUUAUUAUAAUAUAGAAUUUAAUUUUUUAAUUAAAAAGUUAAAAUAAAUUAAAAAGACGAGAAGACCCUAUAGAGUUUUAUAUUUAAUUUAAUUAAGGUUAUUUAUAAAUUUAUUAAUUAAAAUUAAAUUAAUUAUUUUGUUGGGGUGAUAAAAAAAUAAAAAUAACUUUUUUUAUAUAUAAACAUAAAUAAGUGAAUAAAUGAUCCAAUUUUAUUGAUUAAAAGAAAAAAUUACCUUAGGGAUAACAGCGUAAUUUUUUUUUUUAGUUCAAAUAAGAAAAAAAGUUUGCGACCUCGAUGUUGGAUUAAGAUAAAAUUUAAAUGCAGAAGUUUAAAAUUUUGAUCUGUUCGAUCAUUAAAAUCUUACAUGAUCUGAGUUCAAACCGGUGUGAGCCAGGUUGGUUUCUAUCUUUUAAAAAAUAAAAUAUUUUAGUACGAAAGGAUCAAAUAUUUAAAUUAAAUUUAAAAAAGAAUUGAUUAUUAUUAAUU
rnacentral:rRNA from 1 species